GAGUUUGAUCCUGGCUCAGGAUGAACGCUGGCGGCGUGCCUAACACAUGCAAGUCGAGCGAGAAAUUUAUGAACGAAGCUUCGGUAGAGUGAUUAAAUGGAAAGCGGCGGACGGGUGAGUAACGCGUAGGCAACCUGCCCCUUACAGAGGGAUAGCCUCGGGAAACCGGGAUUAAAACCUCAUAAAGCGAAAGAAGCACAUGCUUUUAUCGCCAAAGAUUUAUCGGUAAGGGAUGGGCUUGCGUCUGAUUAGCUAGUUGGAGGGGUAACGGCCCACCAAGGCGACGAUCAGUAGCCGACCUGAGAGGGUAAUCGGCCACAUUGGAACUGAGACACGGUCCAAACUCCUACGGGAGGCAGCAGUGGGGAAUAUUGCACAAUGGGCGAAAGCCUGAUGCAGCAACGCCGCGUGAGCGAAGAAGGCCUUUGGGUCGUAAAGCUCUGUCGGAAGGGAAGAAACAAAUGACGGUACCUUCUGAGGAAGCCCCGGCUAACUACGUGCCAGCAGCCGCGGUAAUACGUAGGGGGCAAGCGUUAUCCGGAAUUAUUGGGCGUAAAGAGUGCGUAGGUGGUCUUGUAAGCGUGGGGUGAAAGGCAGUGGCUUAACCAUUGUAAGCCCUGCGAACUGUGAGACUUGAGUGCAGGAGAGGAAAGCGGAAUUCCUAGUGUAGCGGUGAAAUGCGUAGAUAUUAGGAGGAACACCAGUGGCGAAGGCGGCUUUCUGGACUGUAACUGACACUGAGGCACGAAAGCGUGGGGAGCAAACAGGAUUAGAUACCCUGGUAGUCCACGCCGUAAACG
rnacentral:rRNA from 1 species